rnacentral:rRNA from 1 species
AUGGAGCAAUUGGAGAAGAGGAUGGAUGCUGCUGAACAACAAAUCAAAGAGCUGCGUGAAGAUCUUAAUAGGAGAUUUGACCAGCUGGUUGAGAUGAUAAGAAAGGGUGUCCCCCCUGCUACCAAUGAAGGAGAUUCAUCUAAAGAAGAGGAAGAUGUUCAUCAAGGAAGAAGGAGAGGUAAUCUUGAAGCAAGACCGCCACGACAACAUGUUGUUCAACGUGCUUCAAGAAGGCCAAUUUAUGUUGAGGCUUCUGAAGGUGAAGAAUAUGAUGAUGCCCUUGAAGAGCCAAAUCUCUACGCAUAUCGGAGAGCACCCAACCCUACAUAUGCAAGAGAUACAUACAAGGUGGAGUUGCUCCUCCACAAACUUUGUGUUGCUUCAAUAGGAGAUGCUCCUCCACUAGCAAAGGAGGCAUGCCAGACUUCUCUCUUAAUGCCUUACCCUGAGUAA